UGGGGAAAGUAUUUAUGUGAAGAUACAUCUACCAACCAGGCAGAUCAUUUUCAUCAGCAGUGAGCAUUUGGCUCGGAGACGUUUCAACAUGAAGCUGUUGUUUUUGAUGAUCCUUGUGGCUCCGAUGAUUGUGCAGCCAGGGAUUGUGGAUUCACAGAAGUCCUGUAUCAGACCUGAUGGCAGACCUGUAAUGCAAGCAGUCGGGGAAAGAGUGCAGUUGUCAGGCCCAGCAGGAAUAGUUUAUUGGAAGAAGCCACUAAAAGCCCUCAAGGACCACUGACACACAAUGCAUGAUUUAGAAGCGGCCUGCACCUGAGGAGGGAUGCUGACAUUCAGAGAUUGGAAUAAAGAACUCUUGUUCUGUG